GACGAACGCUGGCGGCGCGCUUAACACAUGCAAGUCGAGCGAAGCGGCGGACGGGUGAGUAACACGUGAGUAACCUGCCUUAGACAUUGGGAUAGUCUCGGGAAACCGGGAUUAAUACCAAAUGGUCUAAGAUGGACUCGCGUCCCAUUAGCUAGUUGGUGGGGAACGGCCCACCAAGGCGGCGAGGGGUAGCCGGCGUGGGAUGUGGAACCGCCACCUUGGAACUGAGAAACGGUCCAAACUAUACGGGAGGCAGCAGUGGGGAAUAUUGCACAAUGGAGGGAACUCUGAGGCAGCGACGCCGCGUGAACGAAGAAGGCGUUCGAGUCGUAAAGUUCUUUUAUAUGGGAAGCGGUACCAUAAGAAAAAGCCCCGGCUAACUACGUGCCAGCAGCCGCGGUAAUAC
rnacentral:rRNA from 1 species